GAACGGGUGAGUAACACGUGGGUGAUCUGCCCUGCACUUUGGGAUAAGCCUGGGAAACUGGGUCUAAUACCGAAUAGGAUCAUUGGCUUAUGGCUGGUGGUGGAAAGCUUUUGCGGUGUGGGAUGGGCCCGCGGCCUAUCAGCUUGUUGGUGGGGUAAUGGCCUACCAAGGCGACGACGGGUAGCCGGCCUGAGAGGGUGACCGGCCACACUGGGACUGAGAUACGGCCCAGACUCCUACGGGAGGCAGCAGUGGGGAAUAUUGCACAAUGGGCGCAAGCCUGAUGCAGCGACGCCGCGUGAGGGAUGACGGCCUUCGGGUUGUAAACCUCUUUCAGCACAGACGAAGCGCAAGUGACGGUAUGUGCAGAAGAAGGACCGGCCAACUACGUGCCAGCAGCCGCGGUAAUACGUAGGGUCCGAGCGUUGUCCGGAAUUACUGGGCGUAAAGAGCUCGUAGGUGGUUUGUCGCGUUGUUCGUGAAAACUCACAGCUUAACUGUGGGCGUGCGGGCGAUACGGGCAGACUGGAGUACUGCAGGGGAGACUGGAAUUCCUGGUGUAGCGGUGGAAUGCGCAGAUAUCAGGAGGAACACCGGUGGCGAAGGCGGGUCUCUGGGCAGUAACUGACGCUGA
rnacentral:rRNA from 1 species